rnacentral:rRNA from 1 species
CCUACGGGGGGCUGCAGUGGGGAAUAUUGCGCAAUGGGGGAAACCCUGACGCAGCGACGCCGCGUGAGCGAUGAAGGCCUUCGGGUUGUAAAGCUCUUUUUCAGGGGACGAAGUCUACCUUGCAAACAGUGAGGUAGGGUGACGGUACCCUGGGAAUAAGCCCCGGCUAACUACGUGCCAGCAGCCGCGGUAAGACGUAGGGGGCUAGCGUUGUCCGGAAUUACUGGGCGUAAAGAGCGUGUAGGCGGAUGUUUAAGUCAGGCGUGAAAGACCGGGGCUCAACCCCGGGGUUGCGUUUGAAACUGGGCAUCUUGAGGGCAGGAGAGGGAAGCGGAAUUCCUGGUGUAGCGGUGAAAUGCGUAGAUAUCAGGAGGAACACCAGUGGCGAAGGCGGCUUCCUGGACUGACCCUGACGCUGAGACGCGAAAGCGUGGGUAGCAAACAGGAUUAGAUACCCUAGUAGUC